AGGUGGAGAGGGUCCUGGAGCUUGGAGAAGCAAGGGAAGACUGGCACAAUACAGCAGUUGAGCCUGUUGGGAUGAUGUCCCUCCUUUCCAAGUAGGACUUGAGAAGAAUUAAGGCAGAGAAAGGCGAGGAUGCAGUGGAGGGGGCCUCGGACUUCUCUGAUGGACAAGAGCUGAGCCAGGACCAUGCGGAACCAACUUCUAGGCACAAAGACCAUAAUAGGUGAGAAUGGAGAAGAGGAUUUCAAUUCCUUUCAUCGCUCCAAAUACUGCAGGAGCCAUAGAAAUACCCACCAAGGACUCAUUUGCACUUGGAUGCUUCUGAGGAGAGGGACAGCCAUAUACUUGCCCUCUCUGGAAGGAAACAACACUCACUGAGUUGGAAGAAAACGUCAGGACAUAUAGGAAGCUGGACUGGCACAAACCCCUGGGUCUACACCCUUCCCUUUUUUUUUUUUUUUUUACAGCUCCUUACCAACUGUGCCAGUAAUCACCACAGCUCUCCCCCUUCUCCUCUCAGACUCACCACUUCCUGUUUCCUGUGCUAUGAGCACCCUGAUGCCUACUUUCCCUCCAAGUUCCCCAGUUCUGGCAAUGGACGCAGCCCAUAUCCCCACUUCAGACCUUCCCGGUCUCUCUCACUCUUGGUUUCCCCCUUCUGCAAGCACCAUGGCUGCCUGGGGACUGUGCUAGAGGCUGAUGAAGGGCAUUCCCAAAAUAGCCUCUGUUAGGAAAAAUCUGGUCGGGGAGGUUACUGGGGAGGGGUGCUCAUAGAUAAAGAAUUAACUGCAAAACCAUGUUGUUAAGUACUGUCCUAGAGGCUGGUACAGAUGGUCAUUUUAUUCUUUAAAUUCAUCUUGCAAACAAACACCCUCCCAAUCCCUUCUUGUCCCUUUCCUUCCUGCUUGAGACAGUGUUUUGAGAGAAUGAUGUUUGUUGCUGUGGCAACAAAUGCAUGAAUGAGGACAGGGCAGGAAGUUGGGAAAAGCCUGAUUUGUGAUGGCAGCAUUGAGCCAUUGGGUCAACUCUGAUGUCACCUACCUCCAGGCUUCUUGUUAAGUAGAUAAACACAUCUCCCUAGGGUUUAAGCCAUUGUUGGUUGACUUUUGGUUACUUGGAACCAAAGCACUGUAACUGAUUUUCUUCUAGGUAUGAAUGAAGGAGUUAAGAGUGACUUAGGGACAGACUCAUCACAGUUCUGGUGAUCAGUCUGGGCAGACUCAACUUCUUUGUAGAAAGGGACAGAAAGCCCCAUGGUGGAUGGACCCACUUAACCUGCA